ensembl:lincRNA uncharacterized LOC110336155
CAGGGAUGAAGGCAAGCCGGCCCCUAGCUGAUCAGCUGGUUGCUGAGGACUCUUCACGAAGUCAGGGACCAUUGUGAAGAUGGAAGAACGCCCACAAAACCCAGCUUGAGGCCUGCCGGCCCUGAGCGUCCUGCUGGCUCAGCGGUGGUGGUAACCAAGGAGUAUCUCAGGCCCAAUAACACAGCGCUCAUGAUGAGCUGUCAAGCUAUAACUAAGAGCGUCGGUUUAGGCAGUUCCUGAAACCGGCAGCGCCAUUUUGUAGGAACAGAGAAGCCGACCUCAAGCUGACCUCAAGGAAUCACUCACCCCGAGAAGACUUUGUUCUGAGCUGAUGUCUUCCCAGCCUGGUGCAGCCCCAGCUAUCCAAAAGAGGAGCUGUUAGGAUGAUUGGAACUUUGGUUUUUCCGAUUCACUCUCUUUCUUCUCUCCUGCCUUCUGCCUUAGACAGCAGGAGAAAAGGAAACUCAGCCUCAGAGGUGGGGUCCUUCGGAAGGACUGACAGUGUGGGCUAGCUCUCCUGCGUCUGGGAGCCUGAGUGCCUUUGGCUCCCUGUCCAGAGCUGAGCUUUACCACAGAGGUUUGCCCGCUUGCAAACAACAUCAAAACUUGCCUCUUCGCCUGGGUGUAUUCUCCCUCUUUUGUGUACAGUUUGGGUCCUCCAAACUGCUCUCCCUGUGUAGAAAGGCCUAUGGAAUUCAGGGAGCCUGGCCAGCCACCCAGGCCUUUAUAAAGGCCCUUCUAUCACAGGAUGGAGGGGAGACCCAAUAAAGACUUUGCAAAACG